rnacentral:rRNA from 1 species
UCCAGUUUAUCCUGCUGGAGGUUGCGGCUAUCUGGUUUGCACUUAGGCAUGCAAGUUCUUUUUAGUUCUUAGGAAUUGGGAAGGGCGAACUGCUCAGUAACACGUAGCUAACCUACCCUAAGAUCAAGAAUAAGCUCGGGAAACUGAGUCUAACACUUGAUAGAAGACGCUCACUGGAAUGUAGCGUCUUUUAAAUCUUCGGAGUCUUAGGAUGGGGCUGCGGCGGAUUAGGUUGUUGGCGGGGUAAUGGCCCACCAAGCCAACGAUCCGUAAGGGCCUUUAGCGAGGAAGCCCUGAGAGGGAAUCUGAGACACUAUUCCCAGCCUUACGGGGUGCAGCAGCCGGGGAUUUUUUGCAAUGCACGAAAGUGUGACAAAGCGAACCAGAGUGUCUUUUCAUAUUGGAAAGACUUUUACCAGUUGUAAAAAGACUGGUGAAUAAGGACUGGGCAAGACCGGUGCCAGCCGCCGCGGUAAUCCCGGCGGUCCAAGUCGCAGCCGCUAUUAUUGGGUCUAAAACAUCCGUAGCUUGUAAAGUAAGUCUUUUGUGAAACCUCACGUCUCAAGCGUGAAACGUGCAAGAGAUACUGCUUUACUAGAGACCGGGGGACGUAAGAAGUACGAUUGAGGUAGUGGUUAAAUACGUUAAUCUUAAUCGGACUAACGAUAGCGAAGGCAUCUUACGAUAACGGUUCUGACAGUAAGGGAUGAAGGCCAGGGGCGCAAAACGGAUUAGAUACCCGUGUAGUCCUGGCAGUAAACACUGCAUACUAAACAUUGGUACCUCCUCGAGAGGUGUCAGUGCUGCAGGGAAGCCGUAGAGUAUGCUACCUGGGAAGUAUAGUCGCAAGGCCGAAACUUAAAGGAAUUGGCGGGGAGGCACUACAACGGGUGACGCGUACGGUUCAAUUAGAAUCUACACCGUGAACCUCACCAGGACCGAUAGCAGGAUGAAGGUCAGUCUGAAGGGCUUACCUGACAUGCUGAGCGGAGGUGCAUGGCCGACGUCAGCCUGUGUCGUGAGAUGACCUGUUAAAUCAGGUAACAGGCGAGACCCACGUGUAUAGUUGCUACUUGGAGAAAGAGCACCCUAUACAGACCGCCUUGGUAACGAGGAGGAAGGUGUGGGCUACGUUAGGUGAGUACACCCCUAAUGCCCUGGGCGACACGAGCGCGGCAAUGCUGCAAUCAAUGAGAUGCAACUCCGAAAGGAGAAGCUAAUCCCAUAAACUGUAGCCUAGUUCAGAUUGAGGUUUGCAACUCAGCCUCAUGACGCUGGAAUCCGUAGUAAUCGUUUAUCAUCAAUGAACGGUGAAUAUGUCCCUGCCUCUUGCACACACUGCCCGUCAAACCAACCGAGUUUUGCAUUGAUGAGGCCCGGAAGGGACGAGUC